GAAGACGGCCAUAGUAAGGCGGGAAACACCUGUUCUCUUUCCGAACACAGAAGUUAAGCCCCUUAUGUUGUUGGCGGUAGUGUCCCGCAAGACGCAAACCUUUCAAGCUGUCUUUC
rnacentral:rRNA from 1 species